GGAAAGCCGCCGGUAAGGACGGCCCACUCGCGUCUCUGUGAUCCAAUCGGGUAGCUGAUAGUCAAGUCCUCACCGCAUCUCAUUGGCAUGUCCGUCCAUCAUAGUUAUUAGCAGUGGGUCCUCUUAGCCUCGUAGUUUGCCCAUCCUCAGCAUUCGCUCCGGCAUUAACCAGAGCCUCUACCUAGGCUACCUCCACACCUCACGUCCGGCUGCAGGCGUGCUUGCGUGCAACAUCACGUCACGUCAUUCUGGCUUU